GGGGAUUUAGCUCAGUGGUAGAGCGCUUGCCUAGCAAGUAUAAGGCCCUGGGUUCAGUCCCCA
rnacentral:tRNA from 1 species